CCUACGGGAGGCAGCAGUAGGGAAUAUUGCUCAAUGGGGGAAACCCUGAAGCAGCAACGCCGCGUGGAGGAUGAAGGUUUUCGGAUUGUAAACCCCUUUUGUUAGAGAAGAUAAUGACGGUAUCUAACGACUAAGCUCCGGCUAACUCCGUGCCAGCAGCCGCGGUAAUACGGAGGGUGCAAGCGUUACUCGGAAUCACUGGGCGUAAAGGGAGCGUAGGCGGGUUAGCAAGUCAGAUGUGAAAUCCUAGGGCUUAACCCUAGGACUGCAUUUGAAACUGUGAGUCUUGAGUGUAGGAGAGGAGGGUGGAAUUCCUGGUGUAGGGGUGAAAUGCGUAGAGAUCGGGAGGAAUACUAGUGGCGAAGGCGGCCUGCUGGAAUGUAACUGACGCUGAGGCGCGAAAGCGUGGGUAGCAAACAGGAUUAGAUACCCGAGUAGUC
rnacentral:rRNA from 1 species